rnacentral:rRNA from 1 species
GACCAAGGAGUCUAACACGUGCGCAAGUCGCAGGGCUGUACGAAACCCGGAGGCGCAAUGAAAGUGAACGCCUGACUCGAUUCAGGCCUUGGUGGGAUCCCGAGAAGAGUUUACUCUCGCGGCGCACCACCGGCCCGUCUCAGCCGCAGCGUCGGCGAGGCGGAGCAAGAGCGUACUUGUUGGGACCCGAAAGAUGGUGAACUAUGCCUGAGCAGGACGAAGCCAGAGGAAACUCUGGUGGAGGUCCGCAGCGAUUCUGACGUGCAAAUCGAUCGUCUGACUUGGGUAUAGGGGCGAAAGACUAAUCGAACCAUCUAGUAGCUGGUUCCCGUCGAAGUUUCCCUCAGGAUAGCUGGCGCUCAUUGCAGUUUUAUCCGGUAAAGCGAAUGAUUAGAGGCCUUGGGGACUUACCGUCCUCAACCUAUUCUCAAACUUUAAAUGGGUAAGACGUCCGACUCGCUCGAUUGGAGUUGGGCCGAUACGAAUGCGAGUGCCAAGUGGGCCAUUUUUGGUAAGCAGAACUGGCGCUGUGGGA